GAGGAUAUAUGGUAUGUAAUAACUGAUGCUUAUAUACCUUCUGGUGUUGAAAUUAUAGUUCAUAUGCAACAUGAUCAAUAUUGUUGCUACAGAAAGGAAAACGUAUUCAUCUUCUUUGGGUUUCCCCCAUGACCCAAGCUCAUACGUUCCCUCAUUGGCUAUGGGGCCAGUUUCUAAUGGAAUUUAAUCAUCUCAUUUUGAUUUCUGAGGCAGAUGGUCCUGUGCGAAGAUUAUGAGGGAAAGAUGUGGCCCCUAGGAUCAUGAGAGGCCGCUUGGAUCCAAUCCUGAGCCCACAGUUACAUGGUGUGAGGCUUCUAAACUACAUGAUUAGGAUGCACUAGCUGAUUCUCCUGCAGGAUGGGAGCCAAGAUGCCAUCUCGAUAUGUUGUGAAGGAACUUUGGCUCCAGUGCAAUCUUGCCAGCACUGAAUCAGUGAUGGGGGCAGGUGGCUGGGGCCCAUGCCCUACAGUUGAUCAGAAUUGCUUUAAGCACCUGGCUACCCACUCCAGUAUUCUUGCCUGGAGAAUCUCAUGGUCAGAAGAGCCUGGUGGGCUGCAGUCCAAGGGGUCACAAAGAGUCGGACACCACUGAGUGACUAACACUUUCACACAUUCAUACUGGAGCCAGUUUCCGGGGUGAUUUCCAGGAGGCCAACUUCCUUAUAGGUGACCAGCCUGCAGAGACUCAGACUUGGACAAGUUAACCCUCACCUUGCCUUUUGCGUUGCCCCUUUACUAGCUGUGGGCCUUGUGCCAAUUACAUAAGCUCUCUGCCUCAGGCUCCUCAUCCACAAAAUGGAUAUGAUACGUUGUGAGGAGUAUGCAGGUGAAUAUAUGCAGUGUGCUCAGAGCUGACACGGCCAUGAGCAGUGCCUAGUGCUGGUGGCUGUCAGAGCAGGUGGAGGAGAUCCAGCUUAGAAUAUUAGAAAUUCAGGAUAUUUGAGCUUUCUGGAGUCAUCCUGACUUUCAAAUUUUUAAUUAUACAAUUUUAAUUAUACAGUUUAUUUUUAAUUAUACAAGUAGCUCAUGCAUGUUCUUAUGAAAAUUCAAAUGCUGGUAGAGCUAGUUCCCCUCACCCUACCCCUGUGCUAACUCCACCUGCCUGGACCCCACACUCACCACCACCCUCAGUUCCAGUUCUAUCUCUAGAGCUGACCACUGUUAAAAAUUGAGUGUGGUCUUCUAGCCUUUGUUUUGUAUUUAUACACACAGAUAUCACACAUCCAAGUAUAUAGCAUGAUUUGUAUUUAAAAUCAUGUAAAAUUCUGCACAAAUCUCUGCAGAUGCUUUAUUUUUUUACCCUUUUUAUUUGUGUUCAUCUUUUACUGAUAAUCUAGGAAUUCUUUCUGUAAUAAAGGCUUCAGUCCUUUCUACAUGUCACAUUAAUACCUAAUUUCCUCUACCAUGUUGCCUGCCUUUUUAACUAUUUUAUGAAGUCAUAGAGAUAUUUUUUCUUUUUCAAUUUUGACAAAAUAAAAUGUAUCACUGUGUUC